GUCCUACGGGGGGCAGCAGUGAGGAAUAUUGGUCAAUGGGAGAGAUCCUGAACCAGCCAAGCCGCGUGAGGGAAGACGGCCCUAUGGGUUGUAAACCUCAUUUGUCGGAGAACAAAACCCGGGACGUGUCCCGGACUGCGUGUAUCCGAAGAAAAAGCAUCGGCUAACUCCGUGCCAGCAGCCGCGGUAAUACGGAGGAUGCGAGCGUUAUCCGGAUUUACUGGGUGUAAAGGGAGCGUAGACGGCUGUGCAAGUCUGCAGUGAAAUGCCGGGGCCCAACCCCGGAACUGCUUUGGAAACUGUAC
rnacentral:rRNA from 1 species